AGAGGAUGGAAUGCUUCACCAGGAGACACAAGAAUAAUUUCCUUGACCUGGGAGUUAAGACUGCCACCCAGCCACCUUGUGCUCUCCAUGCUGCUGAUUCAACAGGCAAAUAAGGAAGUUAUGGUGUGGGCUACAGUGAUUGAUCUGACUAACAAGAGGGAAAUUGCUCCACCAUGGGGGUGAGGGAGAGUACAUCUGGAAUACAGAAGUUCCCUUAGGACACCCUUAGUGUUCCCACACAUUGCGAUUAAGGCCAGUGGAAAACUACAAUAACUCAGUUCAGGCGGAACAACUCAUGGGGCAGAAUCUUCAAGGAAUGAAGAUUUGAGUCCUUCUACCAGGUUUUGCAGAGUGCCUCCAGAAAUAAAAGUGUUACAAAAGAAUCACUUCAGAAAACCUACACUUAGAGAGUCCAUUUGAAAAUUGCCCUAUUUGAAAUGAAGUGGAGAUCAGUAAUAACAAGGACUUCCCCAUAUAACCCAAGUUUGUCUCCAUGAGGUCAUACAGCUGCUUGAGGUUGCUCGGAGAGUAAGAAGCAGAAUGAGAACUAGAACAGAAGCUCACUUUGGCCUGAAGGCUCAUGUGCUGAGCAUCUUCCCUUGUCUGUCUCCACCCCUAGCCUGGUGCCCAGCAUGUAGAAGACCUUCAUCCUAGAUGCAAUGGGAUUAAACUUGGAGAAAAUGGGAUUAAACUUGGACAAACACUACCUAUUUGGACUUGUGAUGAUGGCUUUCAAACUUCUUAAAGCAAUGAAGUAUUUUUUCCAGAAGAAACCUUACACAAGAAGCCCAGCACACUGAGUCAAGCAUAUGUAGGUGGAAGAUAUCUGGUUGAGACCAAGUAGAGAUAAACCUGUAGAUUCAACUGUGCCACCACAGUGAAUUCUAAGAAUCCACUGACUGUGAUCUGUAAGCUCCUACUCCACAGGAGGUCAGGGCACACAGCUUGAAACCGGAAGGCAGAAGAGUGACAGGGAAGGGUCAUGGACUCUGAAAUUAGAGCUAUCUGUGUUUUAAUACUAGUUCCAAUAGGCACAUGGUCUUGGAUAAAUGGUUUAAAUUAUCUGAGUCUCAAUUUCUUUCUCUGCAAAAAGGGAUGAUUAGUACAUAUGUAAUAGGGUUUUUAUAGAAAAUUGUAUAACUUGUUAAACACACAUGUACUAAGUGCUUGGUGCCCAGUAUGCACUGAAUAAAUGCUAGCUCCUUGCCUUUCAUCUCUAUGACCCUUCCCAAAUCUCUCAGCCCCAUAUUGCUUCAUGUAGUGUGUGUAUAUUUGGGAAAAUUUGUGUGCAUAUUUACAGAUGGGAUCCUACUCUUCUAUUGACAGACUGUCUUUUCAGAUGUGCCUUACUUUCAUUGCAUUGGUUUUUCAACUGAAAGUGAACAUAAAGGUUUUAAGCAUGCCUAGGUCUUAUCUUUUUGGUCAAAUAUCUAACACCCUCAAUAACAGUUGUAAAUCAUUCUUUUGUAAUUUGAUCAUUCAUUUUUAUAAAGUAAAACACAACUGCCCACUGUAAAAA
rnacentral:lncRNA from 1 species